rnacentral:rRNA from 1 species
AGAGCGAACGCUGGCGGCAGGCUUAACACAUGCAAGUCGAGCGCCCCGCAAGGGGAGCGGCAGACGGGUGAGUAACGCGUGGGAACGUACCUUUUGGUUCGGAACAACACAGGGAAACUUGUGCUAAUACCGGAUAAGCCCUUACGGGGAAAGAUUUAUCGCCGAAAGAUCGGCCCGCGUCUGAUUAGCUAGUUGGUGAGGUAACGGCUCACCAAGGCGACGAUCAGUAGCUGGUCUGAGAGGAUGAUCAGCCACAUUGGGACUGAGACACGGCCCAAACUCCUACGGGAGGCAGCAGUGGGGAAUAUUGGACAAUGGGCGCAAGCCUGAUCCAGCCAUGCCGCGUGAGUGAUGAAGGCCCUAGGGUUGUAAAGCUCUUUUAACGGGGAAGAUAAUGACGGUACCCGUAGAAUAAGCCCGGACUAACUUCGUGCCAGCAGCCGC